AGAAAUUUUGGAAGAAGGCAAAACCUAAAGACCAACAAGACACAAAAAGGCCAAGUUUUAAAGGGCCCCUCCUAAGCAUUAUCACAUUUCACUCAGUUUUACCCGUCUCGCUUCAGGCAGCGGAGAGGGGAGGAAACGGAUAGCGGAGUGAAGCAAAGAACACGAUUGUCCCCAGAGAGCUCAGUGAGCUCCAGCUUCCUAGUCUCAUU
ensembl:ncRNA R09G11.3 ncRNA